rnacentral:rRNA from 1 species
ACGGUGGAGACCUAGGCACCCAGAGACGAUGAAGGGCGCAGAUACCGGCGAAACGCUUUGGGGAGCUGGCAACAAGCUUUGAUCCAAAGAUCCCCGAAUAGGGCAACCUCCUAAAUUAGGACUGCCUACAGAAUUCAUAAGUAGGUAAGAGGUAACCCGGUGAAUUGAAACAUCUUAGUAGCCGGAGGAAAAGAAAGCAAACGCGAUUCCCGUAGUAGCGGCGAGCGAACUGGGAACAGCCUAAACCCUUUAAGAAUGUUUUUGAAAAUUUUCAAUAUUGGGGGUAGUGGGAAGACUAAAAAAAAAUUAGAAAGAAAAAGACGAAGCAGCUGAAUCCUGCACCAUAGAUGGUGAAAGUCCCGUAGGCUUUUUCAAAUAUUUUCUUGUCUUAUCCCGAGUAGCAUGGGGCACGUGGAAUCCCGUGUGAAUCAGCGAGGACCACCUCGUAAGGCUAAAUACUCCUGGGUGACCGAUAGCGAAACAGUACCGUGAGGGAAAGGUGAAAAGAACCCCCGUUGGGGAGUGAAAUAGAACACGAAACCGUAAGCUGACAAGCAGUGGGAGGGUAUCUUUAAAAGGGCCUGACCGCGUGCCUGUUGAAGAAUGAGCUGGCGACUUAGAGGGAGUGGCAAGGUUAAGGAGUUUGAUCCGGAGCCUAAGCGAAAGCGAGUCUGAAUAGGGCGAAAAAAAGAAGUCACUUUCUCUGGACCCGAACCCGGGUGAUCUAAUCAUGACCAGGUUGAAGCUUGGGUAACACCAAUUGGAGGACCGGAUCGACCGAUGUUGAAAAAUCGGCGAAUGAGUUGUGAUUAGCCGGAGAAAUUCCAAUCGAACUCGGAGCUAGCUGGAUCUCCCCGAAAUGCGUUGAGGCGCAGCGGCGACUUAUGCUCUCAUAGGGGUAAAGCACUGUUUCGAUGCGGGCUGCGAAAGCGGUACCAAGUCGUGGCAAACUCAGAAUACUAGAGAAAGUGAAAAGUCAGCCAGUGAGACAGUGGGAGAUAAGUUCCAUUGUCAAGAGGGAAACAGCCCAGAUCACCAGCUAAGGCCCCUAAAUGGUCACUAAGUGGAAAAGGAUGUGAGAAUGCUGAAACAACCAGGAUGUUCGCUUAGAAGCAGCAAACAUUGAAAGAGUGCGUAAUAGCUCACUGGUAAAGCGUUCUUGCGCCGACAAUGGCCGGGACUAAGUGACCUGCCGAAGCUGUGAUAUUUUAAUCCAUCUAAUUUUUGGAUUGAAAUAGGUAGGGGAGCGUACUGUUUAUUAAGGGUGAAGUCUUCGCGUAAGUGGGGGUGGACGAAACAGUAGUGAGAAUGUCAGCUUGAGUAACGAAAACAUUGGUGAGAAUCCAAUGCCCCGAAAACCUAAGGGUUCCUCCACUAGGUUCGUCCGUGGGGGGUGAGUCAGGUCCUAAGGCUAGGCCGAAAGGCGUCGUCGAUGGCAAACAGGUUAAUAUUCCUGUACUGGUUCUAUUGGGAACCAAGGGACGAAGGAGACUAAGCUGGAACUGCUUCUGGAUUUCAGUGGAAGCGUUUAGGUGUUGAGAGCUAGAAUAAAAACUAGCUUGAGCUAAGGCGUCAUCCCUAUCUUAUAAUUUCUUAUAGGGUAGUCAGCGAUGUCAAACUUCCAAGAAAAGCUUGAACACCAUAACAAUAGAAUCACCUGUACCUGAAACCGACACAGGUAGGUUGGUAGAGAAUACUAAGGGGCGCGAGAGAACUCUCUCUAAGGAACUCGGCAAACUGGCCCCGUAACUUCGGAAGAAGGGGCGCCCUCUUAACAGGAGGGCCGCAGUGACCAGGCUCUGGCGACUGUUUAUCAAAAACACAGGUCUCCGCAAAGUCGUAAGACAAUAUAUGGGGGCUGACGCCUGCCCAGUGCCGGAAGGUUAAGGAAGUUGGUUAUCUUUUUGAAAGAAAAGCUGACGACCGAAGCCCCGGUGAACGGCGGUCGUAACUAUAACGAUCGACACGUAGCAAAAUUCAUUGUCAGGUAAGUUCUGACCUGCACGAAAGGCGUAACGAUCAGAGCGCUGUCUCGGAGAGAGACUCGGUGAAAUAGACUUGUCCGUGAAGAUGCGGACUACCUACACUUGGACAGAAAGACCCUAUGAAGCUUGACUGUAUCCUGGAAUUGGGUUCGGGCUUUUCUUGCGCAGCCUAGGUGGGAGGCUAUGAAGGUUGCCUUCCGGGGCAACUAGAGCCAUCAUUGAGAGACCACUCUGGAAGAGCUAGAAUCCUAAUGGUGAUCUUUGAAUCAAGACACUAAACAGUUUCAGGUGGGCAGUUUAUCUGGGGCGGCCUAAAAGGUAACGGAGGCGUGCAAAGGUUCUCUCAGCUUGGACGGAAAUCAAGCAUUGAGUGCAAAGGCAAAAGAGAGCUUGACUGUAAGACCUACAAGUCGAGCAGGGGCGAAAGCCGGCCUUAGUGAUCCGACGGUGCCGUGUGGAAGGGCCGUCGCUCAACGGAUAAAAGUUACUCUAGGGAUAACAGGCUGAUCUUCCCCAAGAGUUCACAUCGACGGGAAGGUUUGGCACCUCGAUGUCGGCUCGUCACAUCCUGGAGCGGUAGUACGUUCCAAGGGUUGGGCUGUUCGCCCAUUAAAGUGGUACGUGAGCUGGGUUCAAAACGUCGUGAGACAGUUUGGUCCAUAUCCAGUGUGGGCGCUAGAGCAUUGAGAGGAGCCUUUUUUAGUACGAGAGGACCAAAAAGGACGUGCCAAUGGUAUACCAGUUCUCACGCCAGUGGGAGACGCUGGGUAGCUAUGCACGGAGUAGAUAAAAGCUGACAGCAUCUAAGUUUGAAGCUCACCUCAAGAUGAGUGCUCUCCAUUAGGUCGCGGCAAGAAUAGCCGUUUAAUAGGCGUCAGGUAUACAGCCAGUAAUGGUUUCAGCUGAGACGUACUAAAGACCGAUUGAUUUUGAC